AAAAAGAAGACAAUCCGCCCAGGAAAUUGCAGAAAUUUUAUCAACAAGAAAGAUUUAAAAAAUUACGGAAAAUAAGGGUAAAUUACAGAAGAAAAUACCAGAGAAAAUAACGAACUCAGCUGCUUUCCUUUUAAUUAGUGAAAUUCAAUUAUGGCAAACUUUGGUGAGCUAGAUGCGAAUGGAGGAUGGAAAACAGGGACUAGCUUGAACCGCGAACCUCGUCGACAACCUCGAACUCGGGACCUCUCGCACGGGAACUCGCCGGCGACUUCGCCAUGGAUUCUACCAUUUUUAGCGUGAUGAAAGGGCUAUUUUGGAGCUGAUUUUCAGAGCAGUUUUUAGCAGUUUUUUAUCUUCGUUUCGAGAAAAUUUAAACUACGUUUUUUGCUCAAUUUCAUGACUGUUCUUCAGCUUGUUUUGGGUGAGGUUUGGGGCUGUAAUGGGAUGGUUCGGAGGUGCUUUUCGGGUCAUUUUUUUAGUAGCUUUUGGACAUGUUUUGUAGCAUGAUUUUCGCUGCUUUCGUUGCGUUCUUGAACUGGUUUUCUGGUAGAAACAGGGGCUGUUCGGGUAAGGUUUUUUGCGUGAUUUUCCGGUUAGUUUUCGGGCUAAGGGAUGUUGUUUAUGGAGGAGGAAGAAGGCAGCAACAACUGCUGCAUUUUUGGCCGCAAACAGCUAUGAUUUUUCUUUCAAAUGCUGUUGAAAAUCUUGGGUUUUGAGAAUGGCUGAAGCUUUUGUAAUUGGGGGUGAGGGAUUUUUGGUUUGGUUGUUGAUGAAGAAGAUGGAUGGGGGAGGGUGUUUUCUGAUUUUGUUCAGCGGCUUGUCAAUCUCUUUUAGGUCUCUUAGGCGUGUUUUUAGCUAUUUUCAACUGCUAGGUACUUAUAUGCAGAUGUCUAGGGUUUAAUUAAAGGGUAUGGGUGUUGGGCUAAGGGUUAAUUUUGGGACAACGGGGAUUUGGGCUCAAGGGCUAGUCCGAAAUUGGGCCAUUUUCUUGCCCAAAAUUGAGCUAAAAUUGUCUUGAAUUAUCUAACAAUUGGGCUUCUUAGAAGAUCUGGAUUUCAUUAACUAAGGGCCUAAGUUUUUCUUAUUUAAAAUAGUAUAAAGCAUUUAUAAAAAUGUAAAACCACUCCUAAUUAAUUAUAAAAACUAUUAAAGAUAAACCUAAAAUGAAACUAGUUUUGUUUUUGUAUUUUUCAAGAUUAAAAAUGACUACAAAACAUUAAUGAAACUAUUUUUUUGUAAUUUUUGUUUUCUUGUAAUAAAAUAAAAUAAAAGCGUAAAAGUUAGUUGAAAUAGAUAUAUUAGGCCUAAAUUAAAUAUUUACGUGUUAAAAUAUAAAAAAUCUUGGGAAGGGUCAAAAAUCACAUGUCUACAACUGCCCCUCUUUGACUGAAAAUACGAAGUAUUUUUAGACAAAGAACGACUAGAUAAGUUUUUUGACCUGACCCUUAUUUAAAGAGACUAAAAGCUAAAAGAAGAGAGAAUGUGACCGAGCCCUAGUAUCUGAGUUGCCUACAUAUCCUUGGCUGUAAAGGAAUCAGGCCACGUGUAGUUCAGAAGUGAGUGAGAUGAUGGAGUAUACCGAGCUGAAGAGCCGGUCGAGGUGCCGUUCCGCCGAGGUUCCGGUCCGCGGUCCUGUUAUUACAUCAAAAAAAUAAAAAAAAUGGAAAAGACUAGCUAAGCCUAUCAACUACGAGUUACAAGAUUACUAUCUAUAAGUCUUCUGAAGCUUGAUCUUGAGUCUUGAGUGGUUCUUCAUGCAAACUUUAGAUUUGAACCUUGACGCUUGCUAGUUGCAGGUACUAGUUCAUCCUUCUUCAGCUUUUCGGAUCAAGACCAGGCAUGUAGUGCUUGUGACCUCAGCGAUAUCUUGAGCAGCCCACAUCUUUCAUCAACUUCUGCAUUUGGAUUAACUUCUUGCCUUUCUUUUUUUUCUUUAUUAUGACUAACUUCUGUUGAUCACCUCGAACUGUUGACUCGCAUUCUUGCCGCGAGCUUCUUUUGUUGCUAACUUGAAUUGUAUUCUGAAGUGAAUUCUCUUAUUCUCUAGGUAGGUGCCUAAUUGCUGAACUUGAACCGUCUUCCUUUGACCACUGUUUCCUUCCCUUUGUUCUCCGGGUGGGCUCCUGAUUUCAUACAUUUGAAUUAUCUUCCUUUCCUCUGAAACUUGUCUUGUUCUCCCUUUGUUCUCUAGGUGGGCUCCUGAUUUCCGAACUUCCUUUGAACCUUGCUGCUUCCCUUUGUUCUCCAAGGGGCUCCUGAUUGCUAUAUUUCUUUGAACAUUGCUUCUUCCCUUCGUUCUCCAGGUGGGCUCCUGAUUACCAACACUUGCACUACGUUUCCUCGAAACUUGAACUGUUUCCCUUUGUUCUUCAGGUGGGCUCCUGAUUGCUGAACUCCUUUGAACCUCGCUGCUUCCCUUCGUUCUUCAGGUGGGCUCCUGAUUUCUAUCUUCCUUUGACAUUGCUGCUUCCCUUCGUUCUUCAGGUGGGUUCCUGAUUGAUGUCUUCCUUUGAAUGUUGCUGCUUUCCUUCGUUCUCCAGGUGGGCUCCUGAUUGGUGUCUUCCUUUGAACAUUGCUGCUUCCUUUCAUUCUUCAGGUGGGCUCCUGAUUACCAACACUUGCGAUGCUUUUCCUCGAAACUUGAACUGCCUCCUUUUGUUCUUCAGGUGGGAUCCUGAUUGCUGAACUCCUUUGAACCUUGCUGCUUUUCCUUUGUUCUUUAGGUGGGCUCCUAAUUGCUGAACACUUGCAUUGCUUUUCCUUGAAACUUGAAUUGCUUCCCUUGAAACUUGAACUGCUUCCCUUUGUUCUCUAGGUGGGCUCCUGAUUUCCAACACUUGAACUGACCCCUCUGAAACUGCUGCUUGUGAACCUGAUUACAACAAAACAAACAAACAAAAAAAAAAUCUGCCCCAGUUUGAUAUUGGGAACAUCUGUGAGUGUUAAUCAAAUCAUAAUACCCAAAAGCUCUAAGAAUUUAAAAUCUAAAUCCCAUUAUCCAUGAGGGUCCUGAAAAUUAAGAAUUAAAUCUCAUCUCAAGAGUGACACCUUCAAAGCUAAAUUCUAUUUCCUAAAUGUAAAACUUACGCUAAAUCUUAUUGUCUAUGAAGGUCUUAAAAACUUAAAACUAAAUCCCAUUAUCCGGGUCCUGAGAACUUUAAAUUAAAUCCCAUUAUCCAGGAGGAUUCUGAAAAUUUUAAAUUAAGUCCCAUUAUCUAGGAGGGUCCUGAAAAUUUUAAAUUAAGUCCCAUUAUCUAGGAGGGUCCUGAAAAGCCGAGAACGAACUUACCUGAGCCGCGCUCUCUUCCUGGAGGAUCUCUAUAGACCGAACAAAAUUCCUUUCCCCUGAACCACGCUUUUCCUCAUGGAGAGUUCCUGUAGAUCAAACACAUUUUUCUUUCCCCUUCUCAAAUCGCCUUUGUGCUGACAAAAAUUGUGCACGACACUUGAAAAAAUUCAAACUUCCAAGCUUUGAUUUGGACAUAAUUUUCAUCCCUAUUUCAAACAAAGAGAACUUGUGAGCUUAUAAAUAUGGUGGUUGGUUUGUGGCCUUGACUUUGAGGGCGAUUGCUCCUUAACUACCCAUGAUAACUUUGAUUUCCACUCGAAAGACCUUGCUUGUUUAUUGACUAGCUACUUUCUUUGUCACCCUUAUCACGGAAAAUACCUCUAAUCUGUUCAAACCCGAUACCAUUCAUCUGUUGCAGUGUGUUCUUGCAUUGACAUGUACUGAACCUUUGUGUUUCACAUGAAUCCCAAAGUACAUCAAUUGCCAUCCACUCAGUGCGCAUGCUGUUCUUUCCUGACUUAAAACACUGGCCUUGGCCUUGAGGUCUAUUGCUCCUUCACUUGCCAUGAUAACUUUGAUUUCUGCUUGGAAGACCUUGCUUGUCACUGGUUAACCACUUUCUUUGUCAAUCUAUCACAGAAAAUACCUUUGAUCUAUUCCAACCCAACACCCUCUAUCUAUUGCAUUGUUCAUCAAUUGACAUAUACCGAUCCUUUGUAUUUCACGUGAAUCUCAAAGCACGUUGAUUGUUACCAACUCAGUGCGCUUGCUAUUCUUUUCUGGCUUAUGAAACUUUGAUGUGCAUAGCCAGAUCCCGUUUUGUGCAAUUGAAAAGAAUCAGGUCAAACGUAGUUCCCAAAACUACUUUUAUUACUAUUUUCCUUUUCUUUUUCCUUUUUCCCUUUUCCCUUUUUUUAUUUUUUUCUUUCCCCUUUUCUCUUUUUUCUUUUUCUUUUUCUUUUUUUAUCUCUGUUUUUUUUGAAUCUUCAUUUUGGAAUGAACUUCUAAAAUAAACCUAUGGGGACAUGAACUUUUUUUUUCUUUUUUCGUAUGACUCUAACUUGAUUCUAAAAGAGGGAAGGUCAAAGAAAUCAGUACAGGGUCAAAAAGGGUAUCGAAUGUAUAAGUGUUUCUGUAGCUGAAAGAGGGCCUCCCAAUCCCUAAAAAUGGCAAGUACAACACAUGCAACUUGAAAUGAAAAAGGAAUAGCGCGCACAAUGUUUCUUUUACAGCCUUGACAUUGAUAUCAGUGAUAUGAUUUCCAUUCUUUUAGUGACUUGUCAAGUACAGAACCCUCGUUAGGUGAUUCCCUCUUCACAAUGGAUAUCCUCCAUCAAUUCGGAGACAACUUUCUUGACUUUAUCUUGUAACUUGAGAUGCACUUGAACUCAAAGUUUCUUGCUUCAAAUUGUUUGGGAUGCACUCUACUUUAACGAAUUCUUGUCACCCUAUUAACUUCCCAAAUUAUCUGCCCCAGUUUCACAUGGUUUGGGCUUCAAAUGAUCUUAAAAUGUCCAAAUCUGUACUUAUUUCCCUCAAAUGUCCCUAUCAUCUUCAAAAUUGUUUCAUUGCUUCAUGAUUAAACUAACUUUAGAACCAUGCCUAAAAUUAUGCAUGCAUGUCAUGUCAUUAAAUCCAGCAUGAGAAGAAAAACUAUAAAAGGAGAAGAUAACUAAACAAAAAAUGGUUAGAAAUAACAGAAAACAGGAAAUUGCAUUAGACAGACGGUGAAAAGGGUUUGGAUAAUAAGACAAGCAAAAUAAACUGGGGUACAAUCCUGGAACAAAACCAGACAACACUAAACGAGCUACUACGACUAAACAAAACUAGGCAAAAUAAAAGGAUAGAAGGGUUUGAGUCACAAGACAAUAUUCGGAUUACAACCCUGAAAAUAACCCGGACAACAGAAAUAAAAACAAAAUAAACCACCACAACUCCUCCCCGGGCCAACCAAGAAUGGAGUGUCUUUCCAAUUACCAAACACGACAUCUUAGCCACUGAGUUUCGCAUCAACAUUACUAGGACCUUCACAAGUCUCAAUCACAUUGACUUUAGCAAAUUGCAUUUAGGUCCUUUUGCCGGCUCGUUCUUAAGACCAAACUCUGAUAGCGCUGAAAGCUUCGCAGCACGUGGACCUCCGAGGAUCUCAGAAGAAUUCUCAUAUUCCUUUUCAAAACAAAUCAUACCCACCACAUGCGUCUCAUUAUGAACAUGCGAUGGACUUUGGCUAGUGUCUACUGCAUCUGGAUUUUGCACGACAAUGUCACCUGCAUCAAUAAGCUUCUGAAUUACAUUUUUCAGGUGCCAACACUUUUUUGUACUGUGACCCGGGGCACCGGAUCAGUAUGCGCACCUUUGAGAAAAAUCAAACUUCUUUGGCAAAGGGUUUGACAUUUUUAUUUGAAUCGGCUUCAACAUGUCCAAUUGCCUCAACCUUUGGAACAAACUAGCAUAUGAUUCUCCAAUAGGAGUGAAAGCUUUUUCUUUUUUCUAUUGUCUUUUCAGUUUGUAUUCUGGCUUCGGUUGGAACCUUUUGCGAGCAGGUGGCUGAUAUGCUUGAGGGGGCGGGUAAGACAUUUGGGUAAAUGGUGCGGGCCUCGUGGGUGUGGAGCAUAUGGUGGUGCAUUGUGGAUAGGGUACUGGAAAAGUGAUGUACGACUUUGGGGGUUCUAUGGAGAGAAGUAGCAUUGGGGAGGAUCAUCUAGUACACAAGGAUAUCCAUGGGGUCGAUGUCGAGGCUGAAAGCGUUGAGCAAGAAUGCCCAGCGGAUCAUCUUUUCUAUUUCUCUUUCUUCCACCCAAACUUACUGGGAUAUUCUGAAUGUCUUCCAUAGUAUCUUUCAAUGCCGAAUAACUCAUGAUUUUGCCUGACUUGAUUCCCUCUUCUACCAUCUCCCCCAUUUUUACUACAUCAUUAAAAGGUUUACCCAAGGUCAGAAUCAAAUGACUGAAGUAGGUGGGCCCUGAGCUUGUAGGAAAAGCUAAACUAUUUCUUCUUCACCAAUGGGAGGACAGACUCGUGCAGCUUGCUCCCUCCAUCUGAGCCCAAACUCCCUAAAGCUUUCCUCCGGUUUAUUUUCCAUCUUAGAUAGGGAGGAGUGGUCUGAGGUAAUGUCUAAUUUGUAUUGAAAGUGUCGAACAAAAUCUUGAGCCACGUCGCCCAAUGUAUGCCACUUACCGACAUCUUGACGAUUAUGCCAUUCCAAAGCUGCCCCAGUCAAGCUCUUACUGAAAUACGUCAUCAACAAAUCAUCUUUCUCGCCAACACUUCUCAUUUCCCUGCAAUAACCCCUUAGAUGGGCUACCGGAUCUCCACGCCCCUCAUACAAAUUGAACUUCGGCACUUUAAACCCCGCAGGCAGAUGUACAUCAGGGAACAUAUGAAUCUGAUUUCUCAUCCCUUGCAUGCUCCUUAAGGACUGUUCUAUACCUUUCAGCUUCCUGGAUAUUUCAUCUCGCCCUUCUUUUCCUGUGACCUUUUCAUUUUCAGCAUGAGGCUCAUUCCGAGGGCUCUGCUUGUAUGAGUCAAGAACCUUGUGGGCAACUUCUGAGGGGUAAUAUUGGGCAUCACGAGCUUUGAGUGGGUAUUCAUUUUUGGGGAUAGUGGAUAUGACAGGAGGGUAAUUUUGGGGAAAGGUAAUUGGAGGACGAGUGAUGGAGCUACUAAGGUGGUUGGGAAAACUGUGAUAAGCGGGUGGAUCUGGAGAGUAUGGGGGAUCAUCUGGCACUAUGACAGGAGUUCGGGUAAGGGUAGCAUCUAGGAAGCUAGGUGGGGGUGGGGGUGGUACCUUCCCAGUCAUCCAAACCUGAUACAUGUCCGCAAUAUGUUGUCUUAACAUCCUUACCUCUUCAACCAACCCAUCGCCCUGUUCAAGCAAUUACUUUUGGGCACCAGUACCAACCAACUCAAUUCCAUUGCCGUUCAUUGCCUUUCGACCUUAUGUUGUAGAGAAGAGUUACCACUUUAAGAAUCACAAACCAACCACCUUUCUGCUCAAUGAAGAUAACAAAAGGAACAAAAUGGGGACAUCCUGUUAGCAUUAGGGAAUUUAAUAACUAAAAAUCAUAUUGCGUGCAAUGUACCUAGCAACAAUUAACGGUUCUAGAAUGACUUCUAGGGUCACAAGGUCACUUGGCAUCAUCCCAAUUUUGUUCAUUUCAAUCUUCUCUUUCUUUUCUUUUCUAGCAUUUCUUGGCUUGCUCAUUUUCCUUCCUUUCUUUUUCUUACUGACUAUCACUCUUUUCUUUCCUCUCAUUUCUCACGUCCCACAACUUUAUCCUCUUUUUGUCUUUUCUCUUUUUUUUUCUUUUUUUCCCUUUUUCUUUUAAUAAAAUAAAAUUAAGAAAAUGAUUCGAUCGAACCCUAUGUAGGUUGCCUACGUAUCAUGACGCUGCAUGAAUUAGAUCUUUGCGUAGUUCGGGAAGAUCGGGAAUAAAGUAAACAAACCGAUGUUCUCUUUUUUUUCUUUUUUUUCUUUUUACCUUAAUGACUAAUUUGAUGAGAAAAGAGAAACAAAAGAAGCAAAUUUUUUUUCUAGACUGAAUGUUCUAUAACCUACUCUAAACUCAAGCUUAACGAGCAUGUCUUUUGUUUUCUUUUUUUUCUUUUUGAAACAAAUACUCUAUGUAAAAUUAUUAAGGAUAAAACCCUACAAGAGAAAAAUAUUUUUGAUUCUUUUUUUAGGAAGGAAAUCUAAAGAAUAAACCAAAGAAAAAUAUUUUGAAUUUUCACUUGAUAUUCUGAAUAAAAGAUUUCGAAACAAGAAAUGAAAAGAUAAAAAACUAUUUUUUGGAUUUAAAUUUUUGAUUACCUAAGGAAGAAACUCUGAAAAUAAACCAAAGAAAAAGUAUGUUUUUUAUUCUAUGUACAAUAUCCUAAAGUUCUAAUGAAAAUAAGAAAAAGGUUUUUUUUUUUCAUUUUUCACCAAUUUCCCAAAGAAGCACCUCCAAAGAAAAUCUUUUUGGAUUUUUGGAACUAAAAUCUUAAAGAAAACUUUUAAAGUGGUACUAAAAGAAAAUUUUCUUUUAUUUUUUUGAAUUUUUAGUCUUAAUGUACUAAAAGGAAAUAUAAUAGCAAUUUUUAUUUUGAGUUCUAUAUAUUAAUUUCCUAAAGGAAAACCACCUUAAAAGAAUUAGUAUUCUAAUGAAAACUUCUAACAGAAAUAUAAAACGCGAAACCUCUUUUUUUUUGGAUUUUUGAGUUACAGUACACUUUUUCAAAUAUAAAGUAGAAAGUACAAUAAUAAAAGACUCAACGUUACUGUACAAAACUAAAAAGUAAAAGACGACAUAAAAUGAAGAACAUACUCAAAACAUAAAAACUAAAACAAAUCUCCUUAAGCAACUCCUAAAUGAGCGAUCCUAACUGGAUGGUCACGAGAUGUCUGCCAUGCUCAAAUCCCGGUAAGUAGAUCCACACCUGUAUAAAAAAAACUCAAACCAACACUAGGUGAGACAAUAACAUUCCCUAUUGGACACAUGCAAGACAUAAUUGAGGCUAUUUUUGCAAAAUGGCUUAUUUGUCCAAAAGGUGGCAAGAACCUAAGAUUUACUAGGAAGACCGGACCCUAUGUGGGUUGCCUACGUACCACGCCUCAAAAGACGAGAAUCAGGUAUGCGUAGUUCGGACAAAUUGGAUACGGGCGAGAAUUAAAAAAAACACAACUAAUUUAGAGAAAACAUAUUUUUUUGUCUUUGGUUUUUGAAAAAUGAUGAAACAUGUAAACUCUUUUUGGAUUUUCUUUUUCCUUUUUUCUGAUUUUUUUUGUACAAAAUAAUGGGAAAGUGCAAAAUCUUUUUGGAUUUUUCCAUUUUCAUUUUUUGGUCUUUUCUUAAAAAUAAAAUGUGAAAGAAAAACAUAACUAGGUCCUACUUGCUUUAUUUUUUACACUUCACACACUUUUUUCUCAUUUAUCCUCAAACCUCAUUGGUCCGCCAAAUGACCUCGUUUACCCUUGAAAAUUGUAACAUGUAGCACAUAAGAUGCAACAUGAUAGUCUUUUAUUUUUUGGGUACACCUAUCCUAGACGGACCCAACCCCUAUAUUGAGUCCCCAAAGUCAAAUGCACGUGAUGCAAACAAGCGUUCCUACUAGGGAUCCGGCAUGAGGGUGUGUUAUUCUAAGUUUAAAACCUGGGUGUAUUGUUCUAGACCUGGCUUACCCGAGCGGACAACUCGAGUCGGGGGGGGGGGGGGCAGCGUACCGGUAACCAAAAGAUCAUCCAGCUUUGCAACUUGUCCGAACCUUAUUCUAAAUUGGGAUAUGACACUAACAGAAAGAAGUCACGCCAGCGUGCCCUCCUCAGAAGAUAGAAGAAAGGGGUUUCGUAGCAGUUUAUAUAUACAGAUCAUAUAAUAUCAAAGCGGUAAGCAACAUUUAGCACAUUAGGCCUAAACAUGUAGAUAAAAUCAAACAAUAAAUAAAGCCAAAUAUAACAAUUAUUAUAAGCUCGAAUUCUUGAACCUCGAACCAGAGAUUCUGGGUUUGAUCUCCAGCAGAGUCACCAGAGCUGUCACACCUCCUUUUACCUACCCCGCAGAAGGGUGUAAGGGAGUUUUUUUUUCCAAUUUAAGUGACAAUCAAAACGAGAUUAUUUAUAUUAAAUUCAGAGUUGCCACUUGAGAUAAUUUAUGGUGUCCCAAGUCACUGGUUUAAAUCCCGAAUUGAGGAAUUUUGACUCUGUUUUACAGUCCGCAAACACAAAAAUCCGGGUAAGGAAUUCUGUUAACCCGAGAGAAUGUGUUAGGCAUUUCCGGGUUCCGUGGUUUUAGCACGGUCGCUCAACUAUUAUUAUUUGCUUAAUUAUCUGAUUUUAAAAUAUCUUUAAAACCUAUGUGCAUUUUUAUUCCUUCUGAACUGCUUUUAAUAAAUUAGUGUUACAUAUUGCGAAUCAUGUCAUGGGAACCGUACCCAUGAUCUACAACAUGUUUAUUUUAUUAACAAGAUUAAAUGUGGCCGGGUCACAUAAAUGUAACCCCAGAUUUAGAAAUUAGGUGUCACAACUACGUCACGGGAACCGUACCCGUAGCUAUGACAAUUUAUUAAUCGCACCUAAAACAAGCUGCGCAUUUAAAAUAUUUGAACUAAACUUUGGGAUUAUUAUGCAACCCAACAUGCUUUUUUUUUUUAAAAAAAAAAUCCAAACCAAUCCUACAGCUCCUUAAAGCUAACAAAUAAUAGUCCAUUACAAAAAAUUCAAUUAGCACUAUUUUGUUAGACGCAAACCAUACGGCCUUUAAAAAGAAAAUGAAGAUACAGAAACAUUGGCAACAAAUUGCACACAAUCUCAAACUCAUAUGAUACCAAACGAUUUUCAACCAAAAUCUCUGCCAUGAUUUUUGUGUAAAUAGCAAUGUCAAAAGUAAAAGACUAUACAACUAUUGAAAUAAGGACUCUCGCAAUAAAUAUUUCAUACAGAAAUUGGCGAUAGGACCAAGGCCUUCUUUAUUGUGCUUUUUUCAUAUGAACAUUUAAUGUAAUACUUAGAAGAAGUAAAAAGAAAAGAUAGCUACUAUGUUAGGCUGCUAAUGGUAUUUUAAUGACAAUAAAGUAUUGAAAGUAAAAUUUUAAAAGUCUUACCUAGCAUGUUUCUGUCUCAAACAACCAGCCAAAUGAUUGGAAUCCAAGAAACAAGAUAAGUUUAAUAAUAUUAUUAAGUUGAAAUAAUAAAAAAAAUGGAGUACUAUGUUUUCAAAAUAUUAACAAAAUUAAAAAAAAAACUAGUAAUCAACAAUGAAGUAUGUGCAUCUUAAUAUACCAAAUAAGAAGACAAUCCACCUAGGAAAUUGCAGAAAUUUUAUCAACAAGAAAGAUCCAAAAAAUUACGGAAAAGAAGGGUAAAUUGCAAAAGAAAAUACCAGAGAAAAUAACGAACUCAGCUGCUUUCCUUUUAAUUAGCGAAAUUCAAUUACGGCAAACUUUGGUGAGCUAGAUGCGAAUGGAGGAUGGAAAACAGGGACUAGCCUGAACCGCGAACUUCGUCGGCAACCUCGAACUCGGGACCUCUCGCACGGGAACUCGCCGACGACUUCGCCAUGGAUUCUACCAUUUUUAGCGUGAUGAAAGGGCUGUUUUGGAGCUGAUUUUCAGAGCAGUUUUUAGCAGUUUUUUUAGCUUCGUUUUGAGAAAAUUUAAACUGCAUUUUUGGCUCAAUUUUGUGACUGUUCUUCAGCUCGUUUUGGGUGAGGUUUGGGGCUGUAAUGGGAUAGUUCGGAGGUUCUUUUUGGGUCAUUUGUUUAGCAGCUUUUGGACCGGUUUUGCAGCAUGAUUUUCACUGCUUCUCUGAGCUGCUUUUGUUGCGUUCUUGAACUGUUUUUCUGGUGGAAACAGGGGCUGUUCGGGUGAGGUUUUUUGCGUGAUUUUCCGGCUAUUUUUGGGCUAAGGGAGUUUGUUUAUGGAUGAGGAAGAAGGCAGCAGCAGCUACUGCUUUUUUGUUUUCAUAUGGACAUUUAAUGUAAUACUCAAAAGAAGUAAAAAGAAAAGAUAGCUACUAUGUUAGGCUGCUAAUGGUAUUUUAAUGACAAUAAAGUAUUGAAAGCAAAUUUUUAAAAGUCUUACCUAGCAUGUUUCUGUCUCAAACAACCAACCAAAUGAUUGGAAUCCAAGAAACAAGAUAAGUUCAACAAUAUUAUUAAGUUGAAAUAAUAAAAGAAAUGGAGUACUAAGUUUUAAAAAUAUUAACAAAAUUAAAAAACAAACAAUCAAACCAAUAAUCAACAAUGAAGUACGUACAUCUUAAUAUGCCAAAAAAGAAGACAAUCCGCCCAGGAAAUUGCAGAAAGUUUAUCAACAAGAAAGAUCCAAAAAAUUACGAAAAAUAAGGGUAAAUUACAGAAGAAAAUACCAGAGAAAAUAACGAACUCAGCUGCUUUCCUUUUAAUUAGUGAAAUUCAAUUAUGGAAAACUUUGGUGAGCUAGAUGCGAAUGGAGGAUGGAAAACAGGGACUAGCUUGAACCGCGAACCUCGUCGACAACCUCGAACUCGGGACCUCUCGCACGGGAACUCGCCGGCGACUUCGCCAUGGAUUCUACCAUUUUUAGUGUGAUGAAAGGGCUAUUUUGGAGCUGAUUUUCAGAGCAGUUUUUAGCAGUUUUUUAUCUUCGUUUCGAGAAAAUUUAAACUACGUUUUUUGCUCAAUUUCAUGACUGUUCUUCAGCUUGUUUUGGGUGAGGUUUGGGGAUGUAAUGGGAUGGUUCAGAGGUGCUUUUCGGGUCAUUUUUUUAGUAGCUGUUGGACCUGUUUUGUAGCAUGAUUUUCGCUGCUUUCGUUGCGUUCUUGAACUAGUUUUCUGGUGGAAACAGGGGUUGUUCGGGUGAGGUUUUUUGCGUGAUUUUCCGGUUAGUUUUCGGGCUAAGGGAUGUUGUUUAUGGAGGAGGAAGAAGGCAGCAGCAACUGCUGCAUUUUUUGCCGCAAACAGCUGUGAUUUUUCUUUCAAAUGCUGUUGAAAAUCUUGGGUUUUGAGAAUGGCUGAAGCUUUUGUAAUUGGGGGUGAGGGAUUUUUGGUUUGGUUGUUGAUGAAGAAGAUGGAUGGGGGAGGGUGUUUUCUGAUUUUGUUCAGUUGCUUGUCAGUCUCUUUUAGGUCUCUUAGGCGUGUUUUUUUAAGCUAUUUUCAGCUGCUAGGUACUUAUAUGUAGAUGUCUAGGGUUUAAUUAAAGGGUAGGGGUGUUAGGAUAAGAGUUAAUUUUGGGGCAAUGAGGUAGACAAAGCAAAAAUUGAUGUGAUUUCAA
rnacentral:lncRNA from 1 species